GCAGUAAAUGGUCAACCUGAUGAGUCGAACCGGCGACCUCUGCUACAAGGACUAUAGCCUCUAAACGCGGGACGCUUAGACCGCUAGGCCACCAACGCCCCAAAACUACUGUGACUUACAUGUCUGCUGAUCCUACAGAUUCCCACCAGCUGCUGUGCUCCUGCUCUGUAGGCCAGCUAAGCUAAUUCCCACAUAUAAAUUGAACAUGUUUUCAUAGCAAUGCGACUGAAGGAAAAAACAGUUUCACAACCUAAUAAAUGAGUAAAAGUGUCAUUAAUUAUGAAUGCAGAGUGAGUGUAUAAAUAAAAACUUGGACUAAGCACUCUGGGGAAAGUCAAAUGUGAAAUAUUGUCACAACAAAGCACGGUGUGAAAUUGUAAAGAGGUGGAAAAUUUGAUGAAUUGCCAGAGAUGUUGAAAGAUACUCCUUUAUGCUAAAUUCCCUUUUACAAUGUGAACCGUGUAAUGUUUAUAGUGCUGCUGUGUAAUUAAACUACUCAAUUUCUAAGAUUUAUUAUGGAUACAUUGUACUUGGAUUUUAAGAAAGGGGACAUCUGAGGUUUAACCUUUGUAUUUGGCAGUAAAGUCUCUGCUGUCUGGAUGGUCUAAGCCUGAUUAUAGUAUCUGGCUUAUGUGAUGUGUUCCACCUUAAAUGAUCCUUCGAUCAGCCUUUGAAUAUGGACAGAGUGGGGUCCUGGGAAAUAAAGGAAUCUGGAGUACUUAA